rnacentral:rRNA from 1 species
GUGAAAUUGUUGAAAGGGAAACGAUUGAAGUCAGUCGUGCUGGCGCGAAAUCAACCUUCUCGUCUUGAGAUCACAUGGCGUGGCGAGCCUCAAAACCGUCACGAAGCGUGAACUCUUGGUGAAAUGGAGCACUUUCGUGUCCGCUGGUUAACAUCAAUUUCGAACGUCAUAAAAAGGCUAAAGGGGAUGUGGCUCCUUCGGGAGUGUUAUAUAACCUUUAGCGGAAUGUGGUGGCCGGGAUUGAGGUUUGCAACGAAUACCUUUAGGGCUGCUCAAACUGGUCUGGUCACUCCUCUUUAGUUAUCAUAUAUAUGGUGCGUUCCGCUAAUUUAGGGGUGGUUAGUCAGGUGGUGCAAAUUCGUUAAGGAUGUUGACGUAAUGGCUUUAAACGAC